UCCAAUGUUUAACAGGUAGAUAUGGGAGUC
rnacentral:piRNA from 1 species